CCCAGACUCCUACGGGAGGCAGCAGUGGGGAAUAUUGCACAAUGGGGGAAACCCUGAUGCAGCGACGCCGCGUGAGCGAUGAAGUAUUUCGGUAUGUAAAGCUCUUUCAGCAGGGAAGAAAAUGACGGUACCUGACUAAGAAGCCCCGGCUAACUACGUGCCAGCAGCCGCGGUAAUACGUAGGGGGCAAGCGUUAUCCGGAUUUACUGGGUGUAAAGGGAGCGUAGACGGUUCGGCAAGCCAGAUGUGAAAGCCCGGGGCUCAACCCCGGGACUGCAUUGGAAACUGUAAGGCUAGAGUGUCGGAGAGGCAGGCGGAAUUCCUAGUGUAGCGGUGAAAUGCGUAGAUAUUAGGAGGAACACCAGUGGCGAAGGCGGCCCGCUGGACGAUGACUGACGUUGAGGCUCGAAAGCGUGGGGAGCAAACAGGA
rnacentral:rRNA from 1 species